UACGUAGGUGGCAAGCGUUGUCCGGAAUUACUGGGUGUAAAGGGAGCGCAGGCGGGAAGCCAAGUCAGCUGUGAAAACUACGGGCUUAACUUGUAGACUGCAGUUGAAACUGGUUUUCUUGAGUACUGGAGAGGCAGACGGAAUUCCUCGUGUAGCGGUGAAAUGCGUAGAUAUGAGGAGGAACACCAGUGGCGAAGGCGGUCUGCUGGACAGCAACUGACGCUGAGGCUCGAAAGCGUGGGGGGCAAACAGG
rnacentral:rRNA from 1 species